CUUUGUUGGAGUAGGUGUGGCCUUCCUUAUAGGAGGACGUGUGUCACUGGAGGAGGGCUUUGCUCAAGCUAUGUUCAGUGUGACAAACAGUUCACUUCCUGUUGCCUUUGUAUCAAGAUGUAGAACUCUCAGCUCCUUCUCCAGCACCAUGUCUGCCUGCUAUGAUAACAAUGGACUAAACCUCUGAAACUCUACCUUCCCUCGUGUGUCUGGUACAACAUUUUGUCGUGGAACAGAAGAACCUGGAAACUUUCAAGUCAUGGGUCCUCACCCCACCCCCAGUCUGCCUAAAGCACCAUAGAUUUAAUCAUGACUUCAGUCUUUCCGUGUUGAGACAGGAGCGGGUGAUUGGGAGUUAUCCAAUGUCCGGCAGAUAAAGACCGGGUGGAUCCAUGAAGGCAGAUUCUUGCCUGUAUCCCCAGCUGAUGAAUCUGGCUCUCUCAGCUCCUAUUAAACCCUCUUUCUACACCAAGGGACUAGGAAGCAGAGAAGAGUCCAGCAGGGGGAAAAAGAAAAAGUCAUUUCUAUCCAAGUCUCAAGAGCUACGAUUGGCUUAGCUAGUCCUGGGAUGAUUUGUGAAAUGAAAGGAAACUUGACUCCAAGAACUGCCGCCAGGAGAAGCCUUGGGGAUGGAGGCCAAGCAUUCAAACAAGAGGUUGAAGUUGAGCAAUGGAUGGCAGCACUCCAGGCACCAGAAGGGACCAGAUGCACCUGCCUAGGCACUGAAGCUUGACAGGACUCGGGCAGGCCCGACCUAACCAGAGAGGUGUGGGAGGAGGCAGAGCAAAGGGCCUGACUGGAGAAGCUGGCCACGACCCAAUCUCUUCCUGAUUUGAUCAUGGCCAUUCUUCCUGCACCAGAAUCCCAAGAACAAGGUUAGUGGUCCUGCUCUUACAUGCAUACCUCCCAUUUGUCUUCCAACAUAAACAAUUCGGAAACUAAAAGAUAGAAAUCUUCACCCUUCUUCUCUUUGGCUGACAAUGAGACCAUGUAGGUUUUUAGGACAUCAUCUCCCAUGAUUCUGGACCAGGCAAAAUGACAGAAAUCACGUGAGACUGGAGUGUUCCAUCACUGAGAAGAUCAACGGCCACUGGCCUGGCCUACGCAGCAAGAUUCUAGGUCAAAAAUAAAAAAU
rnacentral:lncRNA from 1 species